CCGGCUACUUGCCGCGGCUGACGCUCACCGCCUGGCUGCGUUCUCUCAUCCGCCACCGCCCAGCGGAGGAGGGAAUCGCCGGCCUUUUCCAGCAGGUGCUGCCGGGGGACCAGGCACUCGCGGUCUUGCUGGGCGUGUCGCUGGUGCUGCUCGCGGCCGCGGGCUGGAUCUUUUCGAGGCGCGAGUACGUUCUAGAACAGUGAGAGCAUACGAUUGGAUACGCACGUCCUGCGGCCUGACGACGCAAAGGGCUGGCCAGGCGUGAGUUACGGAGGCCGCUGAUGAGCCGCAGCCGAUGGGUCUUGAUUCUUGCGAUGAGCGUGGUCGUGCUCGGGGUGGUUGCCGGUACGGGGGCGAUCUGGAUGAGCUCGGCGCGGGCGGCCGUGGGUCCGCUCGCCGGCGAGGCCCUGAUCCUGCCCAAAGACGCCCGUUUCGUGAUGGGUUUCGACGUGAAGCGGUUCACCGCGAGCCCGUUCUACG
rnacentral:misc_RNA from 1 species